CUACGUGCCAGCAGCCGCGGUAAUACGGAGGGUGCGAGCGUUAAUCGGAAUAACUGGGCGUAAAGGGCACGCAGGCGGUUAUUUAAGUGAGGUGUGAAAGCCCUGGGCUUAACCUGGGAAUUGCAUUUCAGACUGGGUAACUAGAGUACUUUAGGGAGGGGUAGAAUUCCACGUGUAGCGGUGAAAUGCGUAGAGAUGUGGAGGAAUACCGAAGGCGAAGGCAGCCCCUUGGGAAUGUACUGACGCUCAUGUGCGAAAGCGUGGGGAGCAAACAGGAUUAGAUACCCUGGUAGUCCACGCCGUAAACGAUGAGUGCUAGGUGUUAGGCCCUUUCCGGGGCUUAGUGCCGCAGCUAACGCAUUAAGCACUCCGCCUGGGGAGUACGACCGCAAGGUUGAAACUCAAAGGAAUUGACGGGGGCCCGCACAAGCGGUGGAGCAUGUGGUUUAAUUCGAUGCAACGCGAAGAACCUUACCUGGUCUUGAC
rnacentral:rRNA from 1 species